ACCAGCCGGGGGCGCUGCCCGCAGCGCCCGCGGCGACAGACAGACACCGUGCCUUGGGAAGAUCUGGGCACAUCAGGGCGUU
rnacentral:sRNA from 1 species